AGCAUGUACGCAGACAUGACUGGUUACUGGUUUCUAGUUAGUGUUAGAAAAAUUAGGCGUAUGAAAGGGGUCCUAAGCCUAUGGUUUAGGAGUCUUGGUGAUGAAAAGGGGCGGUGACUGGCCUCACAGAGCUUGUCUGUGUUUCAUUAUGUUCGCUGCGUCGAUUCUCGGCCUUUAUUGUCGAUCGCUCGUAUUCGUUCAUGGCAAACACCCGCUACACUGUGUUGCUGUAUAAAAGUUAGUUAGAGCUAAUGCUACCAAAUAUGCGCAUUACUUAAGAACUGCACAGCCUACUUGUUUGUUAGAAGCCUUGCGCUUUGAUUGCCCGGGCAUUGUAAACUGAUUAUGAGUGGCUCACUUAAGACACAAUUGAAUGAUUCUAUUAUAAAUCACGCGAUCUACCAUCCUAAGUAAAGCAGGGUGGGCUUAGAGUUCAAAAAUCUGCACAGCAGAUGAAAAAUUUCAGUCUUACAUUUCUGCCUUAUCUUUCCCUUCACCUACUACAAUAAUAAAAGACAGACUCACGUGCGCACCCACCGAUGCACAAAGAUCAGUAACCCUUUCUUGAGAAUUUGCUCACGAAAGCUAGAAGUGCAUAAAUAUUUACGGACUCCAAAAUGCUCUAAUGAUUUACCUUGAAAGGUGAGUACUUGUGUCUUCCUGCUUAAAGCGUUGCUUGGGGUGUUAACGCUUAUUUAUCGAUGAAAGAGACACACGAUGCAAUAUUUGCUGAUACAUUGCAAAUAUAUACACUGCAGGUUUGGUACACUGCUCCCUGAUUCACUUUACAACGACGAAGCGUCCGAACAACACUCUCCCAAGGAGUGUUUGAUGCAAUAACACAGUCGUAUGCAAUGCAAAAUGUCGUUCAAAGCAGGUACGGCCUCCACUUAUCUGUUCGCCAAAGCUCGAAAGCAUCUAAAAGGUCAUAGGAGUGAUUGGCAAUGCUGUCUGCACUGCCGCAGUGUUCGGGUCUGCCUCGACUAGGUACGCCUCUAUAGACAGCGUGUAUGAACGAAGUACGGCGUCCACCCGAAACGUGUGCUCCCGGUCGUCUUUGUCGACCGAACG